rnacentral:tRNA from 1 species
GGCAGAUAAUUAGGCAUUAGCAACAGGAUUGAAAAUCCUCGUGUCGGGGGUUCGAUUCCCUCUCUGGCCACCA